rnacentral:rRNA from 1 species
UACGAAGGGGGCUAGCGUUGUUCGGAAUCACUGGGCGUAAAGCGCACGUAGGCGGAUUGUUAAGUCGGGGGUGAAAUCCUGAGGCUCAACCUCAGAACUGCCUUCGAUACUGGCGAUCUUGAGUCCGGAAGAGGUUGGUGGAACAGCUAGUGUAGAGGUGAAAUUCGUAGAUAUUCGCAAGAACACCAGUGGCGAAGGCGGCUCACUGGCCCGAUACUGACGCUGAGGCGCGAAAGCGUGGGGAGCAAACAGG